rnacentral:rRNA from 1 species
AUUGAACGCUGGCGGCAGGCCUAACACAUGCAAGUCGAGCGGAUGAAGGGAGCUUGCUCCUGGAUUCAGCGGCGGACGGGUGAGUAAUGCCUAGGAAUCUGCCUGGUAGUGGGGGAUAACGUCCGGAAACGGGCGCUAAUACCGCAUACGACCUGAGGGAGAAAGUGGGGGAUCUUCGGACCUCACGCUAUCAGAUGAGCCUAGGUCGGAUUAGCUAGUUGGUGGGGUAAAGGCCUACCAAGGCGACGAUCCGUAACUGGUCUGAGAGGAUGAUCAGUCACACUGGAACUGAGACACGGCCCAGACUCCUACGGGAGGCAGCAGUGGGGAAUAUUGGACAAUGGGCGAAAGCCUGAUCCAGCCAUGCCGCGUGUGUGAAGAAGGUCUUCGGAUUGUAAAGCACUUUAGGUUGGGAGGAAGAGCAGUAAGUUAAUACCUUGCUUUUUUGACGGUACCAACAGAAUAAGCACCGGCUAACUUCGUG